UAAUACGGAGGGAGCAAGCGUUACUCGGAAUUAUUGGGCGUAAAGGGCGCGUAGGCGAUUUGACAAGUCAACUGUGAAAGCCCAAGGCUUAACCUUGGAAGUGCAGCUGAUACUGUUAGAUUUGAGUUCCGGAGAGGAAGGCAGAAUUCCCGGUGUAGCGGUGAAAUGCGUAGAUAUCGGGAGGAAUACCAGUGGCGAAGGCGGCCUUCUGGACGGAUACUGACGCUGAGGCGCGAAAGCCAGGGGAGCAAACGGGAUUAGAUACCCCGGUAGUCCUGGCUGUAAACGAUGUGCACUUGGUGUGAGCCAGUUUUUGGUUCGUGCCGAAGCUAACGCAAUAAGUGCACCGCCUGGGGAGUACGGUCGCAAGGCUG
rnacentral:rRNA from 1 species